AGUGAACGCUGGCGGCAGGCCUAACACAUGCAAGUCGAACGGCAGCACAGAGGAGCUUGCUCCUUGGGUGGCGAGCGGCGGACGGGUGAGGAAUACAUGGGAAUCUGCCCAAUCGUGGGGGAUAACGUAGGGAAACUUACGCUAAUACCGCAUACGACCUACGGGUGAAAGCGGCGGACCGCAAGGCGUCGCGCGAUUGGAUGAGCCCAUGUCGGAUUAGCUAGUUGGCGGGGUAAUGGCCCACCAAGGCGACGAUCCGUAGCUGGUCUGAGAGGAUGAUCAGCCACACUGGAACUGAGACACGGUCCAGACUCCUACGGGAGGCAGCAGUGGGGAAUAUUGGACAAUGGGCGCAAGCCUGAUCCAGCCAUGCCGCGUGAGUGAAGAAGGCCCUCGGGUUGUAAAGCUCUUUUGUCCGGAAAGAAAAGCUUUCGGUUAAUACCCGGAAGUCCUGACGGUACCGGAAGAAUAAGCACCGGCUAACUUCGUGCCAGCAGCCGCAGUAACAC
rnacentral:rRNA from 1 species